CACUACAAGUGAAAGACCCCCAGAGUGGGGAGACCCUCACUCAAGUCUCGGGAUGACGCAACCCCCCAAGAACUCACACAAGACC
rnacentral:miRNA from 14 species